UACGUAGGGUGCAAGCGUUACUCGGAAUUACUGGGCGUAAAGCGCGCGUAGGCGGCUUUGCAAGUCGAGUGUGAAAUCCCCAGGCUUAACCUGGGAACUGCAUUCGAGACUGCAUGGCUAGAGUAUGGGAGAGGGAAGUGGAAUUUCAGGUGUAGCGGUGAAAUGCGUAGAUAUCUGAAGGAACAUCAGUGGCGAAAGCGACUUCCUGGACCAAUACUGACGCUCAUGUGCGAAAGCGUGGGGAGCAAACAGG
rnacentral:rRNA from 1 species